UACGUAGGGGGCGAGCGUUGUCCGGAUUUAUUGGGCGUAAAGAGCGUGUAGGCGGCCACACAGGUCUGCUGUGAAAACUCGAGGCUCAACCUCGAGCUGUCGGUGGAAACCGUGUGGCUAGAGUCCGGAAGAGGAGAGUGGAAUUCCCGGUGUAGCGGUGAAAUGCGCAGAUAUCGGGAAGAACACCCGUGGCGAAGGCGGCUCUCUGGGACGGUACUGACGCUGAGACGCGAAAGCGUGGGGAGCGAACAGG
rnacentral:rRNA from 1 species